GAAAUGCGAUAAGUAAUGUGAAUUGCAGAAUUCAGUGAAUCAUCGAAUCUUUGAACGUACAUUGCGCCCGCCAGUAUUCUGGCGGGCAUGCCUGUUCGAGCGUCAUUACAACCCUCAGGCCCCCGGGCCUGGCGUUGGGGAUCGGCGGAAGCCCCCUGCGGGCACAACGCCGUCCCCCAAAUACAGUGGCGGUCCCGCCGCAGCUUCCAUUGCGUAGUAGCUAACACCUCGCAACUGGAGAGCGGCGCGGCCACGCCGUAAAACACCCAACUUCUGAAUGUUGACCUCGAAUCAGGUAGGAAUACCCGCUGAACUUAAGC
rnacentral:misc_RNA from 1 species